rnacentral:rRNA from 1 species
GUAAGUGUUUAUGAGCGUACGGUGGAUGCCUUGGCACCAGGAGCCGAUGAAGGACGUGGGAGGCUGCGAUAAGCCUCGGGGAGCUGUCAACCGAGCUGUGAUCCGAGGGUGUCCGAAUGGGGAAACCCAGCACGAGUGAUGUCGUGUUACCCGCGCCUGAAUAUAUAGGGCGUGUGGAGGGAACGUGGGGAAGUGAAACAUCUCAGUACCCACAGGAAGAGAAAACAACAUGUGAUUCCGUGAGUAGUGGCGAGCGAAAGCGGAAGAGGCUAAACCGCGGGUGUGUGAUAGCUGGCAGGCGUUGCACUCGUGGGGUUGUGGGGUCUUUCUUCUCAUCACUGUCAUGAUGGGCGGGAGUAAGAAAUCGGUGCAUUAGUCGAAAUGGUCUGGAACGGCCUGCCGUAGUGGGUGAGAGUCCCGUAGACGAAAAUGUGCCGACUCUCGUGGGAGAUACCCAAGUAGCACCGGGCCCGUGAAAUCCGGUGUGAAUCUGUCGGGACCACCCGAUAAGCCUGAAUACUCCCUGGUGACCGAUAGCGGACUAGUACCGUGAGGGAAAGGUGAAAAGUACCCCGGGAGGGGAGUGAAAUAGUACCUGAAACCGUGCGCUUACAAUCCGUCAGAGCCUGUGAGUGACUUGUUCACUGCGGGUGAUGGCGUGCCUUUUGAAGAAUGAGCCUGCGAGUUAGUGGCAUGUCGCGAGGUUAACCCGUGUGGGGUAGUCGUAGCGAAAGCGAGUCCGAAUAGGGCGGUGUAGUGGCAUGUUCUAGACCCGAAGCGGAGUGAUCUACCCAUGGCCAGGGUGAAGCGACGGUAAGACGUCGUGGAGGCCCGAACCCACUUAGGUUGAAAACUGAGGGGAUGAGUUGUGGGUAGGGGUGAAAGGCCAAUCAAACUCCGUGAUAGCUGGUUCUCCCCGAAAUGCAUUUAGGUGCAGCGUCGCGUGUUUCACGCUGGAGGUAGAGCUACUGGAUGGCCGAUGGGCCCUACAAGGUUACUGACGUCAGCCAAACUCCGAAUGCCGGUAAGUGAGAGCAUGGCAGUGAGACUGCGGGGGAUAAGCUUCGUAGUCGAGAGGGAAACAGCCCAGAUCGCCGGCUAAGGCCCCUAAGCGUGUACUAAGUGGAAAAGGAUGUGGGAUCGCUGAGACAACCAGGAGGUUGGCUUAGAAGCAGCCACCCUUGAAAGAGUGCGUAAUAGCUCACUGGUCAAGUGAUUCUGCGCCGACAAUGUAGCGGGGCUCAAGUACACCGCCGAAGCCGCGGCACUCACACAACACCUCGGAAGGGUUACGGUCUUUCCGGCAGUGGUGUGGGUGGGUAGGGGAGCGUCGUGCAGCCGUGGAAGCAGCAGCGUGAGCUAGUUGUGGAGGCUGUGCGAGUGAGAAUGCAGGCAUGAGUAGCGAAAGACGAGUGAGAAACUCGUCCGCCGAAUGACCAAGGGUUCCUGGGGCAGGUUAAUCCGCCCAGGGUGAGUCGGGACCUAAGGCGAGGCCGACAGGCGUAGUCGAUGGACAACGGGUUGAUAUUCCCGUACCCGUGUGAACGCGCCCAGUGGUGAAUCAUCGGUACUAACCGUCCAAAUGCUGAGCCGGCACCUUCGGGUGUGGUGAGGUUGCUGCGCGGGACCUUCGGUGUAGUAGUCAAGCGAUGGGGUGACGCAGGAAGGUAGCUGGGCCAGGUGGUGGAUUACCUGGUGUAAGCCGGUAGGGCGGGACAUAGGUAAAUCCGUGUCUCAUGUGCCUGAGAGGUGAUGCGUACCCGUUGAGGGGAAUUCAGUGAUCCUAUGCUGUCGAGAAAAGCCUCUAGUGAGUUUUCACACGGCCCGUACCCCAAACCGACACAGGUGGUCAGGUAGAGAAUACCGAGGCGAUCGAGAGAACUGUGGUCAAGGAACUCGGCAAAAUGCCCCCGUAACUUCGGGAGAAGGGGGACCUGAUCUGGUGAUGGAAUGUGCUUCCGGAGCUGGGUUGGGUCGCAGAGACCAGAGAGAAGCGACUGUUUACUAAAAACACAGGUCCGUGCGAAGUCGUAAGACGAUGUAUACGGACUGACGCCUGCCCGGUGCUGGAAGGUUAAGAGGACCGGUUAGUGGCUUUCGGGCUGCGAAGCUGAGAAUUUAAGCCCCAGUAAACGGCGGUGGUAACUAUAACCAUCCUAAGGUAGCGAAAUUCCUUGUCGGGUAAGUUCCGACCUGCACGAAUGGCGUAACGACUUCUCUGCUGUCUCAACCACAGGCUCGGCGAAAUUGCAGUACGAGUAAAGAUGCUCGUUACGCGCGGCAGGACGAAAAGACCCCGGGACCUUCACUAUAGCUUGGUAUUGGUGUUCGGUUCGGUUUGUGUAGGAUAGGUGGGAGACUGUGAUGCGGGCACGCCAGUGUUCGUGGAGUCGUUGUUGAAAUACCACUCUGAUCGUAUUGGAUGUCUAACCUCGGGCCCUGAUCGGGUUCAGGGACAGUGCCUGGUGGGUAGUUUAACUGGGGCGGUUGCCUCCUAAAGAGUAACGGAGGCGCCCAAAGGUUCCCUCAGCCUGGUUGGCAAUCAGGUGUUGAGUGUAAGUGCACAAGGGAGCUUGACUGUGAGACUGACAGGUCGAGCAGGGACGAAAGUCGGGACUAGUGAUCCGGCACCGGCAAGUGGAAGCGGUGUCGCUCAACGGAUAAAAGGUACCCCGGGGAUAACAGGCUGAUCUUCCCCAAGAGUCCAUAUCGACGGGAUGGUUUGGCACCUCGAUGUCGGCUCGUCGCAUCCUGGGGCUGGAGUAGGUCCCAAGGGUUGGGCUGUUCGCCCAUUAAAGCGGCACGCGAGCUGGGUUUAGAACGUCGUGAGACAGUUCGGUCUCUAUCCGCCGCGCGCGUUAGAAACUUGAGGAAGGCUGUCCCUAGUACGAGAGGACCGGGACGGACGAACCUCU